UUCAUAUUGUUUUCUUUACUCUCUCUUUUGUCCAUUUCUCUUCCAUUUAAAUGAAUUCCCUAUUUCAGCAUAUACCUGGAGAUGAAGGGGAUAACUUCAAGCAGGUAGGGAGAUUCAGAAGGGCUUAAAUAUAAAAGCAGAGCUCCCCACACAUGAAUGGGAGCUGCUGAAAGGAAGGAAAGGAAAAGAAGGUGAUGGGGUAGGAGACAAAGUUGCAGCUGGUAGGAGGAAAGUCCAACCCAGCAGACAGAAUCCAGCACUCGGCAUCCAGAAGACAGAGAUGUAGGCCACAGGUUGGCAAGAGGCUAGCAUCAGAGAAGUCCAGGAAAAAGUGAAAUGUUUGCUGAAAUGUUGCCCGGGGAACAUGGCAACAAACACUCUAAGAUCAAUCAAAAUAUGAAUAUAUACCCUGACCUGGAAAUUUGACUUGCAUCAGAUGAGUCUGUCAGGAUGUGGAAGAGGUUCAGAAAAGGACUAUACCUGGAUGGUGGUGGUGUGGUUAGGGCAGGGGAUUGAGAGAGGAAAACAGAGCCCAGUCUUAUAAGGGUAAGAAUACUAGGUUGACUACAAGGAAUUUAAUUAAGGACAUGGUAGAAAAGGGUAAUAAAGUGGAAGUUUCUUACACCUGGACACAAGUUGAGCACAGGAAAGCAAGAUUGGCUUGACGACGGAUUUCUUAUUAUUGAAUCAGAUCAACUUAAAUAACUAAGGAGAGGAGGGUUCACCAAGCCUAUAUUGGGACUAAGUCUGCCAGUCAAGGUGACCCGAUUUAUGCUAAUAGAAAUGGAGGGCUUUGAAGGCAGAGAACCAGGAAGUUUAUGACAACUGGUCAGCUCUCUAAAUCGGCUUUACUCUCUGAGAUAUCUACUCUGUGUGGCAUUAGGCUCCCAAAGCAUGAAGCGGAAUGUGUUACUAAGUCAGAUCUCCUUGGAUCACAAAGAAAAUAAUAAGGCAACAGUGAUAGAAGAGAAAAAGAAACAAUCCAGAGAAAAAAUGACUGGGUCGCCAGAGGCAAAAUGCAUGACAGAUGCAAAUGGCGUUCAUCAUUUCUCAGCUGGAAAAUUCCAACAGCUUCCUCAAUUGUCUCCCCAUCUUAAGUGCUUCACUACUCAAAUGUAUCUUAUAAACCACUUCCAGGCGACACACUAAAAUUCGUCAAGUGUAGACACCGUUUCUCACUUCAGUCUUCUACUAAAAAAUACCAACAACACUUUGUCACCUAACAAGACCCUUUCCUUUGCAUUCAAAUUUCUGUGCAAUAUGGUUCCAACCCAUGUCAAUGCUUAUUUCCUAGUAUUUUUAAUAUUCAACAUCAUUAAAAUAAAUGAUUAAAAUAUUUAUUAUUUGAAUGCUUCAUUUUUAAUAUUUCCUUUUUAUUUCUGACAAGUGUGCCCUUCUUUGAAGACUUUCUCUACUUCAUUUCCAUGUGAUUCUGGUGGGCUACCAAUCAGAAGACAAUGGACUUCUGACAAGAGGAGUGCCACAUGGCCCAAGUUAGGCCACCCAGAGUUUCCUUCCCAGGAGGCGUGUCCCGAGAAUGCAAGGGCAGAGAGGGACCAAAAAUGAUUGGAACUGAGGCCUGGGAAUUAGAGUCCACAUAAGUUUGAGCCAGCUAUUCAUAUACGAAGGACCACCUUUGAACCCACCAAACAUGGAGCUUUGACACUACAGAGACUCCUAGCCUUGGAUGAAGCAAGUGGAAUGUACCAACCUGGACUAAACCAGCCAGCCCGCUUUGAUUUCCCUGUAGGUUCCUGAAGGCUUUGCAUCAGGACCGAGCUGGCUGGAGUCACGGAGAGCGUGCAGAGUUAUCUCUGCUAGCAGCACUUGUCACCAGGACACCGGCGCCAUGGAUCCUGGGGAAGCACCAGCAUCUCUACGAAUCUCACAGUGGAGAGAAGCUAAUGAGCCUCUGAGCAUGGAAUUUGCCAAGGGAGAUGGAAGCAGACACACAGCAUGAAGUAAACUCUACAAACAUUUAUAGUUCCUGGUCCUCACGUCUGUCCCAGCCAUUAGAAACAAAAUUUUUUUAAUAAAACACCCAGGUGACUCUUCUUCCGGGUGGAAUAGCAUAAAUUAAAUGUGGUGGACCACAGAUGUAAUAGACUCUCAGCUCCACAGCCUCCUUAUGACAUUGCGAGUGACACAGAAAAGUAUCCACAGCUGCUAAAAUGAAGAUAAAUGCCAGGAAGGCAGCUGCAAAUUUCCGACGCUGCUGCAGGUACUGUUGAGUCUGCAUUCUAGGAACAAACAGAGAGACAGAAGAAGGUGGCGUCAACCUAAGUAACUAUAUAUAGUCAUCCUUAUAACUCCCGACAAUUCGCAAAAACAGCCAUGGUGUUGUAGCGCACGUGGAUAAUCUGAAUGGACACGGUGAAUGGAUUACCUGUGCAGGUAUAUGUUUGCUGUUAUCUUCAGAGGCAUCAGUAAUGACCAACAUCUCAGAUUUUUUUUAUCGUUUCCAUCAUCAUGAUUAUCUUAUCAUCAUAGUUCUAUUAUUCAUUGCUCCACUGAAGAGUAAAGCCCAAAACAGAAGAGCUAGCACACCUUCGAUCUAUAGCAAAAACACUUCUAAACUCACAUGUGCUGAAAAUCCACUAAAUUCUAGGAUGGAAUGAAGAGUUUACACUUACUCAUAAUUUGAAAUUCUCCACAUUUGAUAUGAAUAAAAAUCCCAGGAUAACAUUAUGAAGACUCCCUUAGAACUUAAAGUCAUUUGCGACAGCCUAGUGUCAGUAUGAUUGCCUUGCUAAGCAAACUUGGGAAGUCUCAGUUCAAGCCCCAGGACAGCCCACUUCUUGAAGCUACACCAAGUCACUGGCUGCAGCAGCUCACCUGGAAGUCAGUUAUCUCUAUCUGGCUGUCCAAGAACAUCCUCUCAGUGACUAACCACUUCGGUGGCAGAAACUUUUCAUCUGAACUUUCUUAAAGGGCUCGUUGUUUGUUUAAAGAUCACAAUGAGAGGAGACCUUCAAGAUGGCGGAGGAGUAAGACGCGGAGAUCACCUUCCUCCCCACAAAUACAUCAGAAAUACAUCUACAUGUGGAACAGCUCCUACAGAA